rnacentral:rRNA from 1 species
AGCGGCAGCACGGGAGCAAUCCUGGUGGCGAGUGGCGAACGGGUGAGUAAUACAUCGGAACGUGUCCUGGAGUGGGGGAUAGCCCGGCGAAAGCCGGAUUAAUACCGCAUACGCUCUGUGGAGGAAAGGGGGGGAUCGCAAGACCUCUCGCUCAAGGGGCGGCCGAUGGCAGAUUAGCUAGUUGGUGGGGUAAAGGCCUACCAAGGCGACGAUCUGUAGCUGGUCUGAGAGGACGACCAGCCACACUGGGACUGAGACACGGCCCAGACUCCUACGGGAGGCAGCAGUGGGGAAUUUUGGACAAUGGGCGCAAGCCUGAUCCAGCAAUGCCGCGUGUGUGAAGAAGGCCUUCGGGUUGUAAAGCACUUUUGUCCGGAAAGAAAACCUCUGCCCUAAUACGGCGGGGGGAUGACGGUACCGGAAGAAUAAGCACCGGCUAACUACGUGCCAGCAGCCGCGGUAAUACGUAGGGUGCAAGCGUUAAUCGGAAUUACUGGGCGUAAAGCGUGCGCAGGCGGUUCGUUAAGACAGAUGUGAAAUCCCCGGGCUUAACCUGGGAACUGCAUUUGUGACUGGCGGGCUAGAGUAUGGCAGAAGGGGGUAGAAUUCCACGUGUAGCAGUGAAAUGCGUAGAGAUGUGGAGGAAUACCGAUGGCGAA